rnacentral:snRNA from 1 species
AUCGCUUCUCGGCCUUUUGGCUAAGAUCAAAGUGUAGUAUCUGUUCUUAUCAGCUUAAUAUCUGAUACGUCUCCCUAAUGGAGACAUCGAUAUUAAACUGAUUUUAGAAUGGGAUGAGGUGCCACGGAGCUUGCUCCGCCCUCAUCACGGGUUGACCCGGUAUUGCAGUACCUCCGGGAACGGCCCACCACUC